rnacentral:rRNA from 1 species
CACGUAGGGCGCAAGCGUUGUCCGGAAUUAUUGGGCGUAAAGAGCUCGUAGGUGGUUUGUUACGUCUGCUGUGAAAACCUAGGGCUUAACCCUGGGCUUGCAGUGGAUACGGGCAGACUAGAGGUAGGUAGGGGAGUAUGGAAUUCCUGGUGUAGCGGUGAAAUGCGCAGAUAUCAGGAGGAACACCGGUGGCGAAGGCGGGUCUCUGGGCCGAUAUCGACGCUGAGGAGCGAAAGCGUGGGGAGCGAACAGG